rnacentral:rRNA from 1 species
CUGUAUUGUAUAACCUACGUGGGGACACUUCCCAUAGACUACAAUGGGCUUACGAGUAACUAUCUCACGCCGUCGAAUAUCCUCUGACAUGCCAGUUAUUUCUAUACUAUAC